UAUCUGUCUUAAUGUAAACAGCUUUGUUAAGUUCAUAGUUUGUGCAUAUUUUUGUCGUUUAGCACAUAACAAGCACAGUACGGUUUCGAUGCUCGUCUCGGAACAGGAGUGGAGGAUGUGCAUAUGCUGCUGGUUGUACUGCUCAACGUAGGCCACCGCCCACAACCCUGAGAUUAAUGUCUGGAGUGUGAUUUGCUAGCCGGGCACUAUUGUUUCAGGUCCUUUGCAUGAAAAACUCCCAAAGAAUUGCCGCGCAAGUUUUCUAAAGAGUACAAAUAGUUUCCCAACGCUUUUGUGACUCGACAUUUAGUUUACUUUCUGCAAAACUUGGAAUUCCUAUUCAUGCUGAAGUCACUUAGGACAAAGUUUCUCUUUUAUAUUUCUUGUCCCGGUGAGUAUCGAAUUUCUCGGGCCUUUAAGUUGUAACGCUUCGCUGCUUUCUCGUAGGCCUGAUGUAUCCUUUCUUUUAUUUUCUCUCUGGAUAGCUGUUGUCGGUCCGACCUGGGCAAUUGGGCUAUCUCAGCUUCAUUCAGGGCAUUCAAAUUACGAGCCAGCGAGUAAUCUUUCCCAUUCGUAAACAUGUUCUGUCCGAACAUGGCAAAAUACGGCGAAGUUCCGGUGCUGCUAUGGAUGGAUGACCUCAGCGACGCUUGUAUGUCCGCUAAGUGUUCAUCCCAUCGCGUGUGGUCAUCCUGGAUGUUUACUCGAAUCGCUGCUAACACGGAUUGGCUUACUCUAUCCGAAGCAUUGAAUUGUGGUGCCUAUCUCCCUACCUUCAUGUGUGUAAUCCCAUAUUCUUGCAGCAUACUUUCGAAUUCCUUGGAGAUAAACUGUCUUCCGUUGUCCGUGUGGAUUGUUUCCGGAACUCCGAAUUGGGUGAAUAUUCCUUCUUGUAGGAAUCGGAUUACAGCUGUCGAUGUUGCCUUCGGCAUCGCUUUUAGCCACACAAACUUGGUUAAGUGAUCCAACGCGAUAAAUAGCAUGGUAUUUCCUCGGCGAGACCGUGGAUACUUUCCUAAGAAAUCCAGGUACAACUUUUGAAUGGGUCGAUCUGUCCGUACUUCCUUACCAAUCUCUGGUCGCUUUAUCUGCGUUGUGUGCUUGUUCUCUUUACAGUUUUCGCAUGCUGCUACAAAGUCUCGGACUUGAAUAACCAUUUUGAGCCAGUAAUACGUAUGCGAAAGUCUCGCUAAGGUCUUUGCCAUACCGCCAUGCAAUGCCAUGUCGCUGCAGUGGGCUUGCUGGAUUAGAGUUGUCGUCCACAGUUUCCAUUCAAAUUCAUCACUUUCCUCUCUAUUAAAGUGUGUCUUCUUGAAUAGAAGUCCUUCUUCCACACGUAUUCAGGACUCUCAAACUCCGUUGUCUCAAAAUCGAAGAACUCUACUUCGGUGGCUUCAUUCGGCCGAGAUAGCAUGUCGGCCACGAUGUUGUCUUUCCCUUUCCGAUGCUCUAUGUUGAAGUCGAAUGCCUGUAAUGCUAAAAACCACCGCGACAGCCUCCCGUUCAAAUCCUUUAGCGUCAUAAGCCAUUGCAGACUUGCAUGGUCGGUAACGAUCGUGAACGGCAUCAACUUCACAUAGGGACGGAACCUUUCCUCGGCUUUUACUGCUGCGAGACACUCUUUUUCCGUUACGCUGUAAUUAAGUUGUGCUCCUCUCAGCUUCGCCGAAAAGAAUGCUAUUGGCCGGUCCGAUCCUUCUACGUCUUUCUGAUAUAAUACUGCCCCAAUUCCUACAUGGCUGGCGUCACACUGUAUCCAGAAGUGUUUUCCAAAGUCUGGAUGAGCUAAUACCGGCGCACAGGCAGUCCGUAAGCGGCGCACUUACACCGGAGAAAUUUUGGAUAAAUCUGCGAUAGCAGCCUGCGGUUCCUAAGAAGCUGCGUAGUUGUCGCGUAUUUUUGGGCACUCUAUCUUCAUAAUCGCCUCCACUUUCUUCGGAUCUGUCAGCAAGGCCCCAUCACCGAUGAUGAAUCCCAAAUAUCGCAACAACAUGCAGUGUUCUUCGAAAGUCUUGGAUAUCAUCAGCAAGUCAUCCAAGUAUACAAAGACGCGGCUGCGAAGACGCUGUGGGAUUACCUUCUCGAUUACCCUACACAACCUUUGAGCCGAAUUACAUAAUCCAAAUGGCAUCCGUCGAUACUGAUAUAGUGGCCUUCCAGGUUUCUGUACCAGCGUCGUUCCAGGGACUUUCACUUAACUCGAUGACUCCUAACCGUAGCAUUUUAUCCACUUCUGCGAACAGCAGCUGUUGUUUUGCCGGGGACACUGGAAAAAAUCUCUCAUUGACGAGUACAGCUCCUUCAACUAACUGGAUCGAGUGUUCUACCAUGUUGCUCAGUCUGUUCGGGGGAUAGAAUAUGUGCCUCUAUAGGUUCUCCUUUGGCCAUAAAUUCGGAUUCCACCCGGUGUAAAAAUUCUACACCCACCACCUCUGGUGCCAAUUCGAAUUUUCUCCAGAUAUCUAUACCCAGCAAGCUUACUGAUGCCCUGGAAUCCAAAAGAUCCACGACCUCCAGGUCUUCGAUCUUGACCUGUGCGAAUGGUCUAUUGUCGCCUUCCACCGCAGCUCUGAUGGCCGAACAAAUCAUCCUUUUUUCUGCCUUCCGCUGCUGACUUCUCCUACGGGCUCUGGCAAUUUUUGGCGAAAUGUUCCGGUCCGGAUCAUGUUUCCCAAAUAUUCGGUUCCUGACCUCUUGGUAAUGUGCUUCCCGGACUGCUAUAGGUUCACGUUUCGACCAUUUAUUGGUUUAUUCAUAUUUAUCAGUAUCUUACUCAUUUUAUUCUCCUCUCUUCGCCAAAAACCACUUAAACUUUUAGGAUUAAAACCUUGGUUCAUUUGGGAGUUAUCCAGUCUAAGGAACCAGUUCCAUGAUUUGACUAAGCUGCACGACUCCCUGAACUCACGAGUCGUCGAUAGUCGUGUAUCGAUUUUUCGCCUAUCGUUAUCUGUCUUAAUGUAAACAGCUUUGUUAAAUUCAAAACUUGUGCAUAUUUUUGUCGUUUAGCACAUAACGUCUGCCAAUAAUGUGCUUAAUUAAAUCACGAUCUUCCAACUCAGCUUGACGUGCAAUACUGCAAAGCGACGAAGUAACUUUUUGCUGGUCCAAUAAGAAGACGCCUCGCAUACAACCAAUAGCGAUUGAGUGGUACUCCCAACACUGCACAUGCAGUUUCAAACUCUUCAAUCCAUAAUUUGACAGGAAUGCUAUCCUCUCCCGAAAAGGGCUCCACUACCGCCAUUAUAUCUGCGAUAUCGACCCGUGAAAAAUAUGCCGCCAUUUUUGUACCAGCUUGGUUCCGUUCCAUGUUGCAAGCGUUCCCUGACAAACAUCAGCCAGAUCCUCUCGAAACGUGCGCUCAUCCAGUCCAAUCUGAGCCACGUGCUGCACAAGAGGUUCUGCAUGGGCUAUCUUGUCUUGUACGUCGGUGUCGCCUCCCGCAGCUUGAUCUUGAGACACGAUUUUGCUUAUCUGGUGCCGAGAAACCAUGCUGCCGCAAACAGCCCGAUCUUGCAAAACAAUGUUUUUUGCAGCUGCCUGACCAUGUUCGUCAUCCGGGCCAGCCUCAUGCUUGUCGCUCAUUUUAAACAAAGUGUUUGCCGCAAUGCGCAAUUGGUGUAUGGAAGCUCCGACGUCAAAAUGCACUUCGUUGGCUCUCAAUAGCUGUAAUAACUCUUCCUUUGAUUGCUUCAAUAAAUCAGAAUACAACAUGGGUAUUAUAUAUGAGAGCUAUGGGCAGUCACCCCACACCUGAAUUUGUAAAUGAUGCUUGUUCGGAGCAGAUCGCCAGCGCAUAGGUGUACGACGGCACCUGCAGCGCUCUCUGCUUAUCUUUGUCGCCUUCUUUCUUAUACCAUUAAAGCUGUCGCUUAUCUAUUCAGCAACUACUUUGUAAGCCUGCAAAUGUUUAUAUGAAGUUCUUGGAGCCGAGCUUUUACACAGUCCGUCUGCCGCUCCGAAUAAACGCUAUACAUUUUAAUAUAA